UGAGGACACAGGAGAAAGGGAGCUGCCCUUGAAGACUAGCUUCCCCUGGAGGGCCGAGGCCAUGUGCUUGCAGAAACCUGGAAGGGGAGGAUGCCCCUGCAGGGCCUGUAGUCCUGCCAGGCUGGAGCUGUUGGCCUUGGAGGAGCGAUGGUGGCUCAAUUAGUUGUUAGUCCCAGGAUUAAGCAGGGGGGCACCCAGCAAGCACACAGUAAAAGUCUGUUGAAUGACUGAACCCUUGUCACUAGAAGUCAAAGAAAUUAAAACAACUAUGCUGCCUUUUA